CUACAGUGUGACUGCGUACCUUUUGUAUAAUGGGUCAGCGACUUAUAUUCUGUAGCAAGGUUAACCGUAUAGGGGAGCCGUAGGGAAACCGAGUCUUAACCGGGCGUUAAGUUGCAGGGUAUAGACCCGAAACCCGGUGAUCUAGCCAUGGGCAGGUUGAAGGUUGGGUAACACUAACUGGAGGACCGAACCGACUAAUGUUGAAAAA
rnacentral:rRNA from 1 species